rnacentral:rRNA from 1 species
CGGCAUGGGAGGGCCGGCCGCAGCGGGUGACAGCCCCGUACGCGAACCCAGACCGGACGGCGCGACGCGGUCCCUGAGUAGGGCCGGGCACGUGAAACCCGGUCCGAACCUGGGUGGACCACCAUCCAAGCCUGAGUACUACCCUGUGACCGAUAGCGCACCAGUACCGUGAGGGAAAGGUGAAAAGCACCCCGGGAGGGGAGUGAAACAGUACCUGAAACCGUGCGCCCACGAGCAGUCGGAGCACCCUUCGGGGUGUGACGGCGUGCCUUUUGUAGAAUGAGCCAGCGAGUCGCUGGCGCGGGGCGAGGUUAACCGAAAGGGAGCCGGAGCGAAAGCGAGCCUUAACAGGGCGACUUGAGUCCCGCGCCGCGGACGCGAAGCCGGGUGAGCUAUCCGUGGGCAGGCUGAAGCGGGGGUAAGACCCCGUGGAGGGCCGAACGCACGUCGGUUGAAAACGGCGGCGAUGACCUGCGGAUAGGGGUGAAAGGCCAAUCAAACCCGGAGAUAUCUCGUUCUCCCCGAAAUAGCUUUAGGGCUAGCGUCGCGCGUUCACCGCCGGAGGUAGAGCACCGGAUGGACGAGGGGGCUUCGCCGCCUACCGAAUCCAACCGAACUCCGAAUGCCGGCGGCCCAGAGCGCGGCAGUCAGAGCAUGUGGGCUAAGCUGUGUGCUCGAGAGGGAAACAGCCCGGACCGCCCGCUAAGGUCCCCAAGUUCCAGCCGAGUGGCAAAGGAUGUGCGUCCGCCCAGACAACCAGGAUGUUGGCUUAGAAGCAGCCAUCCAUUCAAAGAGUGCGUAACAGCUCACUGGUCGAGUGGACAUGCGCCGACAAUACACGGGGCUAAGCUGGACACCGAAGCGGCGGGAUUUUACCUAAGUAGAAUCGGUAGGGGAGCUUCCCAUGGGCGGAGAAGCCGGAGGGCGACCGACGGUGGAGCGCAUGGGAGUGAGAAUGCUGGCAUGAGUAGCGAGAGACGAGAGAGUAACUCGUCCGCCGUGAACCCGAGGUUUCCUGGGCAAGGCUAAUCCUCCCAGGGUCAGUCGGGGGCUAAGGCGAGGCCGGUAGGCGUAGCCGACGCGCAGCAGGCAGACAUUCCUGCACCGCGCACGCGGCGCUACGACCGACGGGGCGACGGAUGGGGGUGGCUCGGCGGGGUUCUGGACGUCCCCGUGAUGGAGCGCGGCCCGCGGACCAGGGAAAUCCGGUCCGCACACAGGGCGAGGCUCCGGACGAAGCGACUGAGCGAAGCGAGUGAGCCCGAGGUCCCUAGAAAAACCCCUAGGCAGGCGCGUGCGCGCCCGUACCGCAAACCGACACAGGUGGGUGGGUAGAACAUACCGAGGCGAUCGGGUCAACCAUGGUCAAGGAACUCGGCACAAUGGCCCCGUAACUUCGGGAGAAGGGGUGCCCGCGCGUACGUGAACCGGCUUGCCCGGGGAGCGGAGGCGGGCCGCAGUGGAGAGGCCCAAGCGACUGUUUACCAAAAACACAGGACUCUGCAGAAGCCGCAAGGCGACGUAUAGGGUCUGACGCCUGCCCGGUGCCGGAAGGUCACGCGGAGGAGUUAGCCGUUAAGGCGAAGCCCCGAAGCCAAGCCCCGGUAAACGGCGGCCGUAACUAUAACGGUCCUAAGGUAGCGAAAUUCCUUGUCGGGU